CGAUUUCUAUCUUUGGCAUUUGAGUAUGGUGUCUUUGUAGUCAUGGGAUAUGGAGUAAUUAUUUUUUUUACACUAUACUCAUGAUAUGAUUCUUUGAAGUGGCAGACUAGUAGUUCGAAUGUAUGACUAAGCUUUCAUUGGUUCUUAUUAGUUUGCUAUAAGUAUGCUUUAACCAAUUUGCUUGCAAGUAUGCAGAUGUUUGCGGGCGUCAUCACUGUAAACCUUCAAGAGACACAACUCCUCCUACUAGGGGCACCUAGGGGUUUAAAGGCUUGUUGCACAUGCUCAGUUCAAUCGUUUAACCAGCGAAAGUGGUCUAGUUAGAUUUUAUUGUCCUAUGUGUUUUUAGUUUCAGUUGGGCUCGAGGACUAGCAAAAAUCAAUACACCAACC
rnacentral:lncRNA from 1 species